rnacentral:rRNA from 1 species
AGAAGUAGGUAGCUUAACCUUCGGGGGGGCGCUUACCACUUUGUGAUUCAUGACUGGGGUGAAGUCGUAACAAGGUAACCGUAGGGGAACCUGCGGUUGGAUCACCUCCUUACCUUAAAGAAGC